AUUGAACGCUGGCGGCAGGCCUAACACAUGCAAGUCGAGCGGAUGAUGGUAGCUUGCUACCUGAUUCAGCGGCGGACGGGUGAGUAAUGCCUAGGAAUCUGCCUGGUAGUGGGGGACAACGUUUCGAAAGGAACGCUAAUACCGCAUACGUCCUACGGGAGAAAGCAGGGGACCUUCGGGCCUUGCGCUAUCAGAUGAGCCUAGGUCGGAUUAGCUAGUUGGUGGGGUAAAGGCUCACCAAGGCGACGAUCCGUAACUGGUCUGAGAGGAUGGUCAGUCACACUGGAACUGAGACACGGUCCAGACUCCUACGGGAGGCAGCAGUGGGGAAUAUUGGACAAUGGGCGAAAGCCUGAUCCAGCCAUGCCGCGUGUGUGAAGAAGGUCUUCGGAUUGUAAAGCACUUUAAGUUGGGAGGAAGGGCAGUAAGUUAAUACCUUGCUGUUUUGACGUUACCGACAGAAUAAGCACCGGCUAACUUCGUGCCAGCCGCCGCCGUAACAC
rnacentral:rRNA from 1 species